rnacentral:rRNA from 1 species
GACGAACGCUGGCGGCGUGCUUAACACAUGCAAGUCGAACGGAAAGGCCCUGCUUUUGUGGGGUGCUCGAGUGGCGAACGGGUGAGUAACACGUGAGUAACCUGCCCUUGACUUUGGGAUAACUUCAGGAAACUGGGGCUAAUACCGGAUAGGAGCUCCUGCUGCAUGGUGGGGGUUGGAAAGUUUCGGCGGUUGGGGAUGGACUCGCGGCUGAUCAGCUUGUUGGUGGGGUAGUGGCUUACCAAGGCUUUGACGGGUAGCCGGCCUGAGAGGGUGACCGGCAACAUUGGGACUGAGAUACGGCCCAGACUCCUACGGGAGGCAGCAGUGGGGAAUAUUGCACAAUGGGCGGAAGCCUGAUGCAGCAACGCCGCGUGCGGGAUGACGGCCUUCGGGUUGUAAACCGCUUUCGCCUGUGACGAAGCGUGAGUGACGGUAAUGGGUAAAGAAGCACCGGCUAACUACGUG